GAUGAACGCUGGCGGCGUGCUUAACACAUGCAAGUCGAACGGGAAACCUUUUAUUGAAGCUUCGGCAGAUUUAGCUGGUUUCUAGUGGCGGACGGGUGAGUAACGCGUGGGUAACCUGCCUUAUACAGGGGGAUAACAGUCAGAAAUGGCUGCUAAUACCGCAUAAGCGCACAGAGCUGCAUGGCUCAGUGUGAAAAACUCCGGUGGUAUAAGAUGGACCCGCGUUGGAUUAGCUGGUUGGUGGGGUAACGGCCCACCAAGGCGACGAUCCAUAGCCGGCCUGAGAGGGUGAACGGCCACAUUGGGACUGAGACACGGCCCAGACUCCUACGGGAGGCAGCAGUGGGGAAUAUUGCACAAUGGGGGAAACCCUGAUGCAGCGACGCCGCGUGAAGGAAGAAGUAUCUCGGUAUAUAAACUUCUAUCAGCAGGGAAGAUAAUGACGGUACCUGACUAAGAAGCCCCGGCUAACUACGUG
rnacentral:rRNA from 1 species